GACGAACGCUGGCGGCGUGCCUAACACAUGCAAGUCGAACGGAACUGUUUUGAAAGAUUUCUUCGGAAUGAAUUUGAUUUAGUUUAGUGGCGAACGGGUGAGUAACGCGUGAGUAACCUGCCUUCAAGAGGGGAAUAACAUUCUGAAAAGAAUGCUAAUACCGCAUGACAUAUCGGAACCACAUGGUUUUGAUAUCAAAGAUUUUAUCGCUUGAAGAUGGACUCGCGUCCGAUUAGUUAGUUGGUGAGGUAACGGCUCACCAAGACCGCGAUCGGUAGCCGGACUGAGAGGUUGAACGGCCACAUUGGGACUGAGACACGGCCCAGACUCCUACGGGAGGCAGCAGUGGGGGAUAUUGCGCAAUGGGGGCAACCCGGACGCAGCAACGCCGCGUGAAGGAUGAAGGUUUUCGGAGUGUAAACUUCUUUUAUUAAGGACGAAAAAUGACGGUACUUAAUGAAUAAGCUCCGGCUAACUACGUG
rnacentral:rRNA from 1 species